CGAUUUUCUCGACAUCGGCUCUCCAUCGAGAGCUCCUUCUCCUCUUCUGCUUGAUUUAGCUCCGAGCGCUUCUCCCCAAACCAGCUCAGCUCGCCUCGUCCAUAUCACCGGCCGUUGCCUCCUUCGGCGUUGCGUCCGUCUUUCAGUUAGGUUGUAAGAGCUCCGGACACGAGAGAAGACCGGUCAGAUCUAACUAGAAGAAGAAUAACAACGCGACGAGCAAAGUCGUUUCUGUUUCGCUUUGAGUACUCUCUCGACGGAUUGAGGGGAAGAACCAUGGUGAUCCGGAGUGAUCCAGGAAGAUUCAUUGUGGAAACAAGAACAAAGUGAAUAGAAUGGACAAGUAAGGAACAUUGUUUUUGUAGCUGCGCCUAUUAAGUUCCCAAGUGCUUUGUUUGGGAUGUUUUAUAUCUUCUCUGUUCUUAUGAUAUUUGAUUCGGUUGUUCCUGCUGCUGUAAGGAAUAUCUUUCUGUCAGAGAUAUUUCGGCUGCUUAAUUCCGGUGUCAAAAUCUGUUACAUUGUAGGUAUAUAUUCUCACUCAACACGCGAUCGAUGAACUUAAUCUUCACUUACAAGUCAAAACUUGGUUUAUAUACUCUUGUUCUUUGGUAGCUUUUGUGGUAAUUUGGUCUAAUUGCUCUGUUCUGUAUUAUAUUCGAAGCUCAUCUGAUGUCAAUGUUGAAUUAAAUGUUUGUAUAGCCGGUGGAUGGUUGGCGUCUCUUUGUGUAGCAGGGUUCACAGCUAUUGUAGUGAGAAAAAUGGUGAAAACCAAGUAACGUUGGUUAGAUAGAGAGACUAGAUUAGGUUAUUAUAUUAUUGCUAACGACGUUGUACUUUGGGUAUUUUAAUUUCAAAGUAAAUAUAUGAUAUUGUGGAAGAUAAAUGAUUAUUACAGCUUGGUUCAACUA